CCUACGGGCGGCAGCAGUGGGGAAUAUUGGACAAUGGGGGGAACCCUGAUCCAGCCAUGCCGCGUGUGUGAAGAAGGCCCUCGGGUUGUAAAGCACUUUCAGUGAGGAAGAACGCCUGGUGGUUAAUACCCAUCAGGAAAGACAUCACUCACAGAAGAAGCACCGGCUAACUCCGUGCCAGCAGCCGCGGUAAUACGGAGGUGCGAGCGUUAAUCGGAAUUACUGGGCGUAAAGCGCGCGUAGGUGGCUUGAUAAGCCGGUUGUGAAAGCCCCGGGCUCAACCUGGGAACGGCAUCCGGAACUGUCAAGCUAGAGUGCAGGAGAGGAAGGUAGAAUUCCCGGUGUAGCGGUGAAAUGCGUAGAGAUCGGGAGGAAUACCAGUGGCGAAGGCGGCCUUCUGGACUGACACUGACACUGAGGUGCGAAAGCGUGGGUAGCAAACAGGAUUAGAUACCCUGGUAGUC
rnacentral:rRNA from 1 species